rnacentral:rRNA from 1 species
AUUGAACGCUGGCGGCAGGCUUUACACAUGCAAGUCGAACGGCAGCGGGGAGGAGCUUGCUUCUCUGCCGGCGAGUGGCGAACGGGUGAGUAAUACAUCGGAACGUGUCGAGAAGAGGGGGAUAACCACCCGAAAGGGUGGCUAAUACCGCAUAAAUUCUGAGGAAGAAAGCUGGGGACCUAGGAAUAGGCCUAGCGCUUUUUGAGCGGCCGAUGUCGGAUUAGCUAGUUGGCGAGGUAAAGGCUCACCAAGGCGAAGAUCUGUAGCGGGUCUGAGAGGAUGAUCCGCCACACUGGGACUGAGACACGGCCCAGACUCCUACGGGAGGCAGCAGUGGGGAAUUUUGGACAAUGGGGGCAACCCUGAUCCAGCCAUGCCGCGUGUAUGAAGAAGGCCUUAGGGUUGUAAAGUACUUUUGUUAGGGAAGAAAAGUCAGCUUUGAAUAAUGGCUGAUACUGACGGUACCUAAAGAAUAAGCACCGGCUAACUACGUG